rnacentral:rRNA from 1 species
UACAGAGGGUGCAAGCGUUGUCCGGAAUUAUUGGGCGUAAAGAGCUCGUAGGCGGUUUGUCGCGUCUGCUGUGAAAACUCGGGGCUCAACUCCGAGCUUGCAGUGGGUACGGGCAGACUAGAGUGCGGUAGGGGAGACUGGAAUUCCUGGUGUAGCGGUGGAAUGCGCAGAUAUCAGGAAGAACACCAAUGGCGAAAGCAGCUUUCUGGGACGGUACUGACGCUGAGACGCGAAAGCGUGGGGAGCGAACAGG